AGACGGCGUGGAAACGGAAACAACAGGUAUGCCGGCUCACUGUGCUGCAUACAGUUACACACUACGUCGUACGAUUGAGACAAGGAAACUUGGAAUGACUUUUCAUAGGUUUCCCAGAGACUAUGGGUUGAGGAGGAAUUGGAAGUUUGUCGGCUUAGACCUGGUGUCAUUCCAUCAGUGUUAAACUUCCCGGCUCAUCUUGGAAGAGUACGUGCCAGAAAGACCACGACCAAGCAGCCUUGAGAUCUUAGACAGCGUCUCCCUGAGGACAAUUCAAAGGUCCCUCUCUAUCUCCCUACACAUCCACCAACCACUGGAACACAUCUCCAAAGUUCUGCCGGGCCAGCUCAGCUUCCCCUCAGAAGAAGUGCAACCACCUGCCAGAUGAAGGAGCGUUUUGAGAGGCAGCUGGCAUCGUGAUUGGACUGUACUUUGGUCUGUUCCAAUCCAGCUUCAGCUCCAGAGACGGCAGGCGGGACGAGUCAACGGAGGCCUGGUGGACGAAGACAUGCAGCUGAGUACAAUCCAGAAAACAACAGAGGAGGAGUGCAGGGCCAGAACAAGCAGAGUAGCAUCGUAUGUCUCUUAUAGGGGCUUUCGACCGGGGUGGAGCCCGUUCGGAGUCGGAGCCGGUGCCCGACUUGGCACCGGGUUUUUGUCUUUCCACCACCGGAGCUGCGGCUCCGGGCUCCAAAAACUGGGGCUGUUUCGGGCACCAACUCGUUGCUGGGCCAGAGAUGGCCAGAGUUGAGAACCGAGCAUGUCACGGGCAGGGGGCGGGGUGACAUCUAAAAACAUCUAAAAAGAUAAACAUAGAUAUGAUCAUCAACUUAUUGCGCGUUUAAAUGCUCAGUAAUCAAUGCAAGCGUAGUCGAAGCUAAGUAGCUAAGCUAAUGCUAACACAUUUACUGUUAAGUAUCCAAACAUCUUUGGUAAUUACCUUUCUUCUCAAACGUGAUCGCCGGGCAUUGGAACGGCGAUGCCGAUGGGUAACCCCUAACAGAAGGUUUUUCUGUUCAACGAUGGCAAGGCACACUAGCAAAGCCAUGAACACCACUCCAAUGAAGUCCUCAAUUGUUGUUGUGUGGGCUUCUGUACGGCGCGAACGCUGUUGAACGGCUACGUACGCAGUGACGUACACACGUUUUGUGGUGGCGCAAUGACGCAGCUCCAACUUUGCUCCUUCCGAAUGGAAACACAAACCGGUUCUGGGGCGGCAUGAGAUUUGAACCAAAAAAGCACUGGCUCUCAACUUUGAACCAACCUAGCACCUGGUGCUCUUUGGUCGAAAGCCCCUCUUAGAAAACAUCAUAGUAUAGCCUUUGGUAUGAAAAAACGCCAUCAUAUACAU
ensembl:lncRNA